GACGAACGCUGGCGGCGUGCUUAACACAUGCAAGUCGAACGAAGUGGCGAACGGGUGAGUAACGCGUAAUCAACCUGCCCUUCGGAGGGGGACAACAGUUGGAAACGACUGCUAAUACCGCAUACUGAAGGAGGGGUAUGCGUGUGAUUAGCUAGUUGGAGGGGGAACGGCCCACCAAGGCGAUGAUCCGUAGCCGGUCUUAGAGGAUGAACGGGCACAUUGGGACUGAGAAAAGGGCCAGACUCCUAAGGGAGGGAGCAGGGGGGAAUCUUCCGCAAUGGGCGAAAGUCUGACGGAGCAACGCCGCGGGAGUGAUGACGGCCUUCGGGUUGUAAAGCUCUGUUAAUCGGGACGCGGUACCGGAAUAGAAAGCCACGGCUAACUACGUGCCAGCCGCCGCGGUAAUAC
rnacentral:rRNA from 1 species